rnacentral:rRNA from 1 species
UACGUAGGGGGCAAGCGUUGUCCGGAAUCAUUGGGCGUAAAGCGCGUGUAGGCGGCUUGAUAAGUCCGCUCUGAAAGUCCGGGGCUCAACCCCGGGAGGCGGGUGGAUACUGUCAGACUAGAGUGCGGAAGAGGCGAGUGGAAUUCCCGGUGUAGCGGUGAAAUGCGCAGAUAUCGGGAGGAACACCAAUUGCGAAGGCAGCUCGCUGGACCGA